GCCUGGGGGGCUCAAUCAGUUAAGCACCUGACUUCAGUUCAGGUCAUGAACUUGGGGUUCGUGAGUUCGAGCCCCACGUCAGGCU
rnacentral:tRNA from 1 species